GGGCAUUCGGAAGGCUUGCACUCUGGGCUACAAGCAGGGAACCUGGUUUCUCCCCCAACCCCGCCCAGGGGAAAGUCCCCGGACUCGUGGCAGAAAGUGCCCUGGGUGAUUCCAGCGUCGACCAGCGCCAUACCGUCAAUGUAGCGAAGACGUUCACCUGAACCGAGCUUGGUACUCGCUGGUCGGCUUUGUCAGCGUUCAUAGUAAUGCAAGUGAGCAGUUACUGACGCUAAAACAGAACGGGGCUCAUUCUCGGAAUGCA
ensembl:ribozyme RNase_MRP RNase MRP